ensembl:lncRNA
CGGCCUCCAAUUGCUUUAUCAUCAUUAAGUGAUUUUCUCAGAUUUUUCGCCGCGUAUGUUUAUUCUCUAAAAAGCCGCUUCGCAUAUUUACUCCAGUAAAGAAUAAUUCAGUAACAUUCCGUCAACAUCUACAGUAUGUAAGUAAUUUAUAUCUAUUUAUUAUUACACUAUUUAUUCACUGAUCUCUGAGCUAUAAUCUAUCAUUUAUUAUAUAUUAAUAAGUAUGGUGUGUAUAUAUAUAUAUAUAUAUAUAUAUAUAUAUAUAUAUUGUAUGUAUGUUGCCUUGUCUGUAUAUUUUCAUUCCCAUUUUUGCGCCAUGAAAAAAACAAAAAAAAAACACAAGACAAAAAAAAAAUCCCCCCAUUCAUUGUGUAUGUGUCUGAGUGGAAUGUUCGAGACAGACAGGCGCUCUUUUACAAAGCUCAGACACAGAGAUAACAGAUGGCACCAGCGCUAAAGAAAUGGCAAGGGAGAAAGAAAAAGGAUGAGAGAGAGAGAGAGAGAGAGAGAGAACGAAUCAGAUGAGCAGAAAGAGAGUGAAACUGCUUCUCUCUCUACACGAGUCUCCAAGGAGCAUCAGAUCCACAGCUUAUUGCUUAGUGACAGUUCUACAUUAACUACAGAAUACAAUCCUGUGUUCCAUCACCUCAGCAACGCCGACACGCCACACUCACACACACACACACACACACACACGUACACACCAUCGGAAACUGCCUACAAACUUUAAAUUAAUUUCCUUACUUCGGUGUUUUCUCCUGCUCAAUAAGUGAUGCCAAAAUCAGCACUCAAAUAUGAAUACACGUACAGUUUAGUCCAAAACUCUGAGUCCACUUUCGAGAACAUGUUUCUAACACAGAUUUGAAACAAGCUAUCUGCAGGAUUAAGCAAAUUCAAUUUAAUGCUGUUUUUUUUUUUUUUUUUUAAAUCGGGUAGCAAAUGCUAAUUAUCACGCUAUCGUACAGUACAUAAUGCAUGGGUUAAAGUUCAACCAUGUCUGAGUAUUACUAAUAGUAAGGGCCACAAUAGCAUGACAACAACAAAAUAACAAAUAGCCAUGUAUAAUAUACAGUGCAGUGUGGAUAAAGCACCGCUCGUCUACAAAAAAAAUAAGUCCUUCUUGUUACUCAUUUUUAUGCCAGAAAUACCCUUUAAAAUAUACUUCAAACAUGAUGGAAGAUACUGACGAAAAAGCAUUUCUGACAUUCGACUUGACCCUGUCUGGAUCGAUUCCAAAAUUGGAUCCGUUCACCUGCUGGUUGAAACGAUAAAAUUCCAUACGGAUUCGACGCAGAUUUAGAUACUCCUUCUUAAGAUAUUGCGCUAAUGACGAUCAGGAACAGGAGGACAAACUGGCAAAAACGAAUACAAAUACUAAUGAUAAUGAAAAAGCAUGGCAGAAUGAGUAACGUCUGUAAGAGACUCAUUUGCAUUAUCUGCUAGCAUUCCUUUUGAUGAUAAUUUAAUAGAGCCCACAUUUAAAAUGUACACACCAGGCUGCCAUGGAUUACUCAGUAUGUCUUUAAUUCAAACCGACAAAGUUCUGAAAGAGGAGCUGUUUACGGAGAAAUCACGAUUGACAGAAUCUCAGCACUUACACCCUUUCCUGGUCAACAACAACUACAUCAAAAUGUUGCCAAUUAUAUCUGAAUUCAGGUAUAUCUACCAUCCAAAUUAUAUCUGAAUUCAGGUAUAUCUACCAUCCAAAUUAUAUCUGAAUUCAGGUAUAUCUACCAUCCAAAUUAUAUCUGAAUUCAGGUAUAUCUACCAUCCAAAUUAUAUCUGAAUUCGGGUAUAUCUACCAGCAUAAUUAUAUCUGAAUUCAGUUAUAUCUACCAGCAUCAGGUCAUUUGUUUUCAGACAACCACAAUUUAAAAAUAUUGUAAUCGACACUUUGUGGACACAAUCUGGCAACGCAGGUACAAAUGGUGCACUGUGUUUAAGUCGUACUUUAAAGCAUAAUUUCAACUAGGCGUGGAUGAUAUGGCAGAGAUAUCAUAUCAUGGUACUGGAAGCCAUUUUUGUGAUAAACAAUCUGUGAAAAAGAAACUAUUCGAUAAGUGAUACAUAUAUUUUAUGCCUAACAAAAUGGAAAAAUGGAGAAUUAUUUUCAUUUAUUUAUUUAUUUUGUACGAAACCGGAUUCUGCUGUAUAAUAAACUACUCGCUAUUGUAUCAGUGGAGUUCAAGGUGAACAUAUCUAAAGGUAAAAGAUGGCUAAAAGUACUCACCUUACUUCACGAGAGAAUAAAUGGUACAUUGACAAGCCAAUAAAACAGGCUGUGAACAUUAUGUACUUUACACUGAACUGCUGAUUCCAUCAAACUAGUAGAAUACUUCCCAAAUUUUGCUUUCCUCAUACUGUAUAUACACAGUCAGGUCCAAAAUUCUGAAGUUGUUUGGAAGGGAUUCAAGAAAAAAGCCUCUACUCUCGUCCAAAAACAAAGUCGAAUGUGUUCAGUGUGCAGACACUACUGGAACUUUAAAUGGGAUCGGGUUCUAUGGUCAGAUGAAACCAAAAUUGAGCUUUUUGGCAAUAACCCCCAGAGGUGGUUUUGGUGCACACAGAGAGGUAGCCGUAUGGAAAAGUACCUCAUGCCUACGGUUAAAUAUGGUGGUGACUCUUUAAUGUUUUUCUGCCAGAGGAUCUGGACAUUUUGUUAGGAUACAUGGCAUCAUGGACUCUAUCAAAUAUCAACAGAUAUUAAAUGAAAACCUGACUGCCUCUGCCGGAAAGCUUCAAAUGGGCCGUAUUUGGAUCUUCCAGCAGGACGAUGAUCCAAAACAUCAUCAAAAUCAACACAGAAAUGGUUUACUGACCACAAAAUCAAGUUCCUGCCCUGACUAUCCCAGUCCCCUGACCUGAACCCCAUAGAAACCCUGUGGGGUGAACUGAAGAGGAGAGUCCACCAGCAUGGACCUCGAAAUGUGAAGGAUCUGGAGAGAUUCUGUAUGGAGGAACGGUCUCAGAUCCCUCGCCAUGUAUUCUCCAACCUCAUCAGGCGUUAUAGGAGAAGACUCCGAGCUGUUAUCUUGGCAAAGUGAGGCAGCACAAAGUACUGACUAAAAGGGUGCCAAUAAUUGUUGCACACCUAUAUUUAACAAAGAUAUUUUUUUGAUAAACCUGUGUUGUGUUUGCAAUUCUUUGAUAUUCAUCAGAGCAGAGUAUUUCUGUGAAUUCUUUUAACAAAAGAUCAAAAGGUUCGACAAUAAAGAUGAUUUUCACAGCCUUCUUUGCUCAUAUUUAUCAAGGGUGCCAAUAUUAAUGGUGGGCAGUGUAAAUAUUCAUCAGUCAGGUCAGGUUUUGUUUUUUUUUGUUUUUUUACAGGUUUUUUUUCUGGCCUUUCCGUUCUUGAGCGUCACCAGUGGUUUGCAUCUUGAGGCAUCACGAAGCCGUGUCUUGACUGUAGACUUUGACAGUGACACCCCUCCCUCCUCCAGGGUGUUCUUGACUCGGCUAGAUGUUCCGACGGGGUUUUUCUUCACCGAGGAAAGAAUUCUGCGAUCAUCCACUUUAGCAGUCUUUCCGUGAUCUUCCAGGCCUUUCGGUGUCGCUGACCUCGCCAGUGCAUUCCUUCUUUCUAAGAAUGUACCAGAUUGUUGAUUUGGGCCACUCCUAAAGUUUCUCCUAUCUCUCUGAUGGGUCUGUUUUGUUUGUUCAGCCUAAUAAUGACCUCCUUCAGUUGCAUCCACACCUCUUUGCACCGCAUACUGAGAGCUCCCAUUGAACAGCAACCAAAUUUUACGUCCCGACUGUAAUAUUUAAUUGGAAAUUGUCACAAUAAUUAGGCUAUUGGGCAACGAACUGCCUCCCACCAUCAAUUCAACCAAGCCAUGUUCUCAUCUCUUCAAAGGCUUUACUUGUUCCCACACUGCAUUAUACAGUAUCCUGUAUAUCAGUCCAGAGUGUGUAUAAUUGGUCGAUUACACAAAAUUCACAACUAUGUAUACAUCUCUGAAAAUCACAUUACACCAUCAGAUAAGGACGAGGGAGGAAACGGUCUCAAGCACGUUGAUCAGGAAUACUGAUUUCUACAAAUACUGAGGAGUACUGAGAUAAGCGAGCCUGGAAACAACUGAUGUGUUGCCUAGCAACACUUUGGUUAGCUAAUGGAAUUAUAACCGAACUAAUUUUGGUCUGGCCGCGUCGGCACCUCCUCUUUGUUGGUUAUUUUUCUAUCCCAGCAUGCCCCGUUUUUUAUCCCUUGCAUGAUAAACAGAAAUCCAUACUAACUGAAUCACUAUCAGGCGGUAGUCAUUAUGAAACAACGAUUAACGCUAAUGAAAUAAAUGAGGUCGCGAGACAUUUCGAAAACGAAGCGCGUAACGGGUGAACAGCUCAAAUGGAAGUCAUAUUACGGAUUGAAGCGAGGAUUUCUGAUUUCUUAUGUGCUUCAGUUCUCACUUGGUCAUAGACUCGUACAUUCGGACCCUACUUUGUACAAUGGCAAGAGAGUACACACACUUAGUCCUUGACAACUGAACCUAAGCAGUUCUAUAACGGCAGAGGUGGCUUAGCGGUUAAGGCUUUGGGUUACUGAUCGGAAGGUCGGGGGUUCCCCAGCACUGCCAAUGCGCCACUGUUGGGCCCCAGAGCUCCGGGGGCGCUGUAUCAUGGCUGACCCUGCACUCUGACCCCAGCUUCCUGACAUGCUGGGGUGUGCGAACCAAAGAAUUUCACUGUGCUGUAAUGUAUACGUGAUCAAUAAAGACUCAUUACUCAUUAUAAUAAAUCAAAGAGAGAAUUCAACCAUAGUCCGCUUGGUUUAUUUGAAAAAAAUAAAAAAAAUCAAAAGUGCCUAAUGAUUCUAGAAACAAGGUUACCAUCCUAAAUAUAACAGGCCGUUUUCCUGCCUUUCAAAAAAUAGCCCACGUUAUUUGGCUUUAAAUAAAAAUGGCAGCUGAGGACAUGCCUUCCUGUUCCAUUCAUUACCCUUUAAAAAACAAACAAAAAAAAAAAACACGGAAAAAAAGACCACUGCCCCUGACUCCAGUGCAGUGUCCGAGCCAGGAAGGAGCCAUCGAUCUGUCGAGCAAUCAAACCUCAGUGUGAUCAAUCAAUCACAGAGGUGCUUUAUUUCCUCAACUCGAGUCCAUACACGCAGCUGCUCAAUUCCAGCGAAUUUGCUUUAAUUCAAUCCAGUACACGAAGAAUGAGCUUUGCUGUCCGUUUUGAUUAAAGAUCAAAAUGGCCGAUGGGAUUCAAUUCGGACGAGGAAAAUCAACAAUGAAAAACAUGGCGUCAUUGAUCAUAUGGGAGGAGUUUUUUAAAUACAAAAAAAAAGGGGGGGGAAAAACAGCACUGGUUCACUUUUUCACCUUAAACAAUGACUCUAUCACAGUACCUUUUAUUCAAGUAUAGGUAAGAAUAGAAUAAAACACUUGGGGGCAUGCUGUUAUAGGAAAACGAUCAACGAUGGGUUGGUGCGAUGAGACCUGACACGAAGAUGAUUAUUUUCUAAUAACAGCACGUCGUGAAUUGUUUUAUUCCCGUCAAACCACAGCAAUCUGUCGACGCGUAAAUGUAUUUGUUGAUGAAAGAAGGAUACUUCGCCGUUUUUAUUCAUUUGUAGUUUUUAAUUUUGUAGGAACGUCCACAAAAAACCAAGAAACCAGGACGCACCGUUCUGAAGACUUUCCGGUGGUGGAAAACCUUCUAACUGUGCUGACGAAGUGGAGACUUCCUUCAGUGAAUUUUAAAUCGACAUGUCCUUAUAGAAAGGUUUAUUCUUCGGUUUAGUCUAUGUGGACUGUGCGCUGUACAAGCCAUUAGAACGAGUGUGUUCAUAUAAACCUGUCAUUUGAAUUAGUCUUACUACUACAAGUCUUCCCAAUUAAUAAAAUCAACCUUAACAUUAAUAUAAGAUGAAAACAUUUUCAUCUGCUGAAAAUCCUUCCUCGUCCUUGAAAGAGAGAAAAAAAAAAACACGUUCAAAUUGUCCUUUUUGAUCCCGCACAACAGGAGGCACAUUCUCCCCCCCCUCUCUCUCUCUCACUCUCUCACACACACACACACACACACACACACA